AGCGAACGCUGGCGGCAGGCUUAACACAUGCAAGUCGAACGGGCAUCUUCGGAUUUCAUUGGCAGCCGGGUGGGUAACACGUGGGAACGUACCCUUCGGUUCGGAAUAACUCAGGGAAACUUGAUCUAAUACCGGAUACGCCCUUUUGGUGGAAGGUUUACUGGCGAAGGAUCGGCCCGCGUCUGAUUAGCUUGUGGGUGGGGUAACGGCCUACCAAGGCGACGAUCAGUAGCUGGUCUGAGAGGAUGAUCGGCCACGCUGGGACUGAGACACGGCCCAGACUCCUACGGGAGGCAGCAGUGGGGAAUAUUGGACAAUGGGGGCAAGCGUGAUCCAGCCAUGUCGCGUGAGUGAGGAAGGCCUUAGGGUUGUAAAGCUGUUUGGUACGGGACGAUAAUGACGGUACCGGAAGAAGAAGCCCCGGCUAACUUCGUG
rnacentral:rRNA from 1 species